AGUGAACGCUGGCGGUAGGCCUAACACAUGCAAGUCGAACGGCAGCACAGUAAGAUCUUGCUCUUACGGGUGGCGACUGGCGGAUGGGUGAGGCAUACAUCGGAAUCUACUUUUUCGUGGGGGAUUACGUAGGGACACUUACGCUAAUACCUCAUAUUAUCUACGGGUUAAAUCAGGAGAUCUUCGGACCUUUCGUGUUUGAUUUAGCCGAUUUCGGGCUGCAUUAGCUAGUUGGUAAGGUAACGGCCUACCAAGGCGACGAUGCAUAGCUGAUCUGAGAGGGUGAUCGGCCACACUGGAACUGAGACACGGUCCAGACUCCUACGGGAGGCAGCAGUAGGGAAUAUUGGGCAAUGGGCGAAAGCCUGAUCGAGCCAUGCCGCGUGGGUGAAGAAGGCCUUCGGAUUGUAAAGCCCUGUUGUUGGGGAAGAAAAGAAGCGGAAGAAAACGCCGAUGUCCUGACGGUACCCAAAGAGAAAGCAACGGCUAACUUCGUG
rnacentral:rRNA from 1 species